AAGUCGUAACAAGGUUUCCGUAGGUGAACCUGCGGAAGGAUCAUUAAUGAAUAACUAUGGCGUUGGUUGUAGCUGGCUUUUAGGAGCACUGUGCACACCCGUCAUUCUUAUCUUUCCACCUGUGCACUUAAUGUAGGCCUGGGUAACUCUCACUCAUACCAGAGUGGAUGCAAGGAUUGCAAAGCUUUUUACAAGGCCUAGCUCUCUUUGAAUUUCCAGGUCUAUGUACCUUUACACACCCCAUUUGUAUAAUAAAGAAUGUAGUCAAUGGGCUUUUAUGCCUAUAAAACAAAUACAACUUUCAGCAACGGAUCUCUUGGCUCUC
rnacentral:misc_RNA from 1 species